rnacentral:rRNA from 1 species
UACGGGGGGAGCAAGCGUUGUUCGGAUUUACUGGGCGUAAAGGGCGCGUAGGCGGUCAGCACAAGUCAAUUGUGAAAUCUCCGAGCUUAACUCGGAAAGGUCAACUGAAACUGUGCGACUAGAGUGCGGAAGGGGCAACUGGAAUUCUUGGUGUAGCGGUGAAAUGCGUAGAUAUCAAGAGGAACACCUGCGGUGAAGACGGGUUGCUGGGCUGACACUGACGCUGAGGCGCGAAAGCUAGGGGAGCAAACGGG